CUUCUUUUCCACAGUGGACGCAGGGUCAAUGGCAGCAUUGUCAUUGUUUUUUUUUGUUUUUUAGCAGAACAAUUCUGCAUGUUACCUUCGAUGGAGAUAAGUUGGCGAGCAAUACAACGAUCCACCCUUAUAUGACGCUGGUGCUGUGGAGUAGUGGCACCAUUAUUUCUGUCCAGAAUGUUACCCACUGUCCCAUCAGUCUGGAUCUGAACACAUGCAUCCACGUUUUCCUGUUUUUCACCCUUGUCAUCUAGAAUGGCAACACACUUUUGUGCAAUGUGUGCUCUCAGAAACAUGAACAGCACAAACAACCAUUUCAACUGCAAAAACCAGCACAAACAAAUGAGACUAUUUCAACAGAGUUUUGCGAGGGGCCAACUUCACACAGGUUUUGUAAAUCCCUGGGUAAGACCAAACUGAGGUAAGAGAACCUACCAUAUUUGACAUCAGGCACAGUCACUGAACUUUCUGCAAUGUUGGUUGAAAGGAUAAUCUGCAAAGGUCCAAGCAGACAUUUAGAACAAAUUGUUCAAUAAAUAUCCCGCAUAUAAAGGGUUUACCUUUCUGUAUCCAGGAACAGGAGGCAGGAAAACACCAUACUGCUCUUCCAUAGUCACAGAGGAAUGGAGGGGAUAAACCUGUAACCUGUAGGUUCGUAUUAACUUGAGAUGGGUUCAAGGGAUUCAAACAAUAAAACAAGUAAAGAUAAUAUGAUCAUCAACAGGUUAAACUUGUACCACAUUCAAGGAUAUAACAGCAAAAUGUUUAUUUGAACAUAAAAAGGAUGCUACUACGUAUAAAAAAGUUGACCUUUUGCGGACCAGCUUGGCCAGGGCUUGAUGCAUGUAGGUUAUCUCGUGUGAGCCGGGAAGGAAAACAAGGACACUGCCUCUCUCUGAGAAGCGUACGCCAUCGUCAUCGCUGAUGCACAAACAGCAUUUUUCAACACAUGAUGUGCAUUUAAAGCUACAAAAUGAAGUUUUGUAAGCGGAGAACUGGAGUUUUCACCUGGAAUCUUGGCCUUCUAUCUUGUCAAAGCUCUGGAUGAGACUGACAGCAAGAUCAUACAUCUGAGCUGAGAUGUGAGGGUCAUCUAAAUGGGUCGAAUCCACCUGGUAAAAAGACAAAUUAAAACAUGUCUUUGGAAAAACACAAUGACCAAGGACAGAAUCAACAAGAAUUAAGAAGCGCUUUACACUAUAGAGACUUAAAUGCUGAAGGUCUUCCAGGUAAAAAUCCUCAAUGCCAUAAGGUGCCCCCUCCACUUCAAACACAUAGGCUGGGUUCAUUUUUCCACGAAUUGGAGUACUGAAGUAAUCUGCAAACUGUCUGCAGUUGAUCGUGGCUGACAUGAGUAUGAUCUGGAAGAGUAUCGAUUCCAUUAGUGAUGGAUCAACAAGUUGAAAUAAUGUUCUGAUUUCGCAGUUACCUUCACGUAACGUGAGUUGGAGUUGAGAAGUUUUCUCAAGACAAGCAAAAGAAAGUCCAUCUCCUCAGUACGCUCAUGAACCUUGGAAAAAUACAUUGUACAUAGUGAUAGACAAUUAAUCCAAUUAUAAUUUCGAUUUGUAUUAUAGCUUGUCACUCUUAUGAAAAUAUAAUAACUGAAAAAAAUAAAAAAAAUAAAAAAUAGAUUAAUGGGCCGUGCAACUUUCAUGCAAAUUCUGGAGCUUGUGACAGUGAAACAGAAUGAGUAAAAAAAGAGCAUGUCUACCAGAAGUUUGGAAUUUCACCAUGAUUGCCAUUUUUAUUUGAUACAGCGCUAGUAUGCCUAAUCAAUAAUCACUAAACUCAACAGAAAAGACUCACAUAAUUGGCCAAUAAAACGGAAUCCACUGAUAAACGCAAAAUAAUAUCAGGGGAAAUUUUCAUAAAUGUAAGUGAAAGGCUGUCAUUGUGAAAAGAGACAUUUAUUUGGGAAAAUAAAAAAUCCAGUAGUGCUCUUUUUUUCCCUGACACACGAAAACGGCAGCCGUCCUGAACUAAACAAUGUCGAGACAGCGACUUGAAACAGCAACUAAACUACGACGCUAAAACUCGCAGGAACAAUCCAUACACCCACAACAUCUUAUCUGCUUGUGUUGUUGUAACAACAUCAUCGAUGUUACAUUAAUCUACAAACAGGGGUCACAACCUGAGAAGCUCGCUCUUUUUUGUUACAGCCUCAAGUCGCCUCUUUACUCAUCAAGCUGGGAACAACAGCAGACCACACUUACACCCUUCACAAUAAUAGCGCGGUGCUUCACCAGUGUUUCCCACACAUUCAUUUAUUUGUGGCGGCCCGCCACGAAAGAAUUACGUCUGCCACGACUCGGAUUUUCAUAAUUUUUAUUUUCGGGAUUUGAAUGCAUUUAUUUUGAAAGGACAGCUGGAGAGAGACGGGGGAGGGGGGAGAGAGGGUAUUGACGCGGAGCAGAGCGACUGUCAGGUGGGAUCAAACUGGGUCGCCGCAGCGGGUGCUCUACCAGGUGAGAUAGGUUAUAGCUGCAUCGCUCGCGGCUCGUCAUAUAUUUAACGUUAAUCCGCGAUUUCACAGAGCGUUUCACUGACGGUGAGCAGCCUGACGCUGCUUCAUUAACCGCUGUUUGACUCGGGGGCCGGGGCAGACACACGCAGUAACAGUCACCUGUUACCAUACCGACGAGCUAACGUGUCCAGGUUAUAGCCCUGUUGUCAAUAAACACACGUGGAGACGGUGCUUCAGAUACUAAUACUAAUUUGAUACUGUAGUAGUUAUAUCUUGUGUAUUCAUAAUGUAAAAUGGAUGGAUGGAUGGACGUUUAAAACAAAACUGUUAUUAUUAAUUAGUAAGUAUACAUUUUUUUAGCCUUUUUAGAGAAAAUCAUAUUGUAGUAAAUUAUGCAAAUUACUCGAUGAUGUCAUGGUGACCACGCCCAUAGCCACGCCCCCACCGCCACAGGUAUCUUGGCAGUUUAUGGGAAACACUGUAUCACAUCCGUUCUAACUGCACUAACAAAAUUAAGGUUUCAAAAUGUACCUUACACUAGCAUAAUGUACUUAAAGCACUUACUGAUACAUUUACGGUACACAAUUAUUAUGCUUUGACCUAAAAUACUGGUCAAAAUAGUCCAAACAUGUAUUGCACAAUAAAUGUGAGUAUUUUUUCAUUUAACAUUUUAUUAUUAUUAUUUAUUUGACACAUAAAGCAUACAC